GCUCGUAGUUGGANUUCGGGUGGGUUCUAGCGGUCCGCCUAUGGUGAGUACUGCUAUGGCCUUCCUUUCUGUCGGGGACGGGCUUCUGGGCUUCACUGUCCGGGACUCGGAGUCGACGUGGUUACUUUGAGUAAAUUAGAGUGUUCAAAGCAGGCUUACGCCAGAAUACUUUAGCAUGGAAUAACACGAUAGGACUCUGGCCUAUCUUGUUGGUCUGUAGGACCGGAGUAAUGAUUAAGAGGGACAGUCGGGGGCAUUCGUAUUNNNUGUCAGAGA
rnacentral:rRNA from 1 species